rnacentral:lncRNA from 1 species
ACUGGGCGUGGUGGCACAUGCCUGUAAUCCUAGCUACUUGGGAGGCUAAGGCAGGAUAAUCACUUGAAUCCAGGAGGCAGAGGUUGCAGUGAGCCGAGAUUGCGCCAUUGCACUCCAGCCUGGGCAACGAGGUGAAACAGUAUCUCAAAAAAAAAAAAAAAAGUCUAGAAGCUGAUUUUUUUUUUCUUUUCUUCAAUUCACCUAACUGAAUGCGUGUUUUUUUCCCCCUAUAACGAGUUUGACACCAUAAGGUUUUUUUUUUUUUUAAUUUUUAAUUUUAUUACACUUUAAGUUCUAGGGUACAUGUGCACAACAUGCAGGUUUCAUACAUAGAUAAGUUUGUAUCUGCCUAUACAUACUACUAUUUACUUACCUCCUAUUGUGAACAACAGCACAGGUUUAUAAGAUGGUUGCCAGAAUUCAGGGCAUAUAAUCUGACCAUGGAAUAAGACAAGUUAAUUAUAAUUUGGUGGAUUGGAAUCAGAUACCCUAGCC